GAAAAAGUAAAUAACUACGUUUCAUUACAGUUUCCUGUUUCCUUCUUGAUCCUUCACAAGGGAAGAUUUUCUUUUUUAGAGGUACAGAUUCCUCUUAGUCAAGUCCUGAUUAAAACUCCAGCUAAGACAUUAGUAAGCCUUGGUUAGUGAAGUGGCAUCAGGAAGUGCCUACAUUUUCAUGGCCUGGUAGCGUUCAGUGAAAAUGUUCAUUAACAGACACAGGCCAUUCAGUCCCGAAUCCCAAGACACUGAAGACUCUGUUUGAAUCAGACUCACGGGUUCCUUCCUAGCCACUCUCAGGGACAGGAAUGCUUCUGGUGAAGAAGUUUUCGGUGGUGGUUCAUGGAGCUUCCCUACACCAACUUGGAAAUGGCAUUCAUUUUAUUGGCUUUUGUUAUCUUUUCCUUAUUUACCCUGGCUUCCAUCUACACUACUCCGGAUGACAGUAAUGAAGAGGAAGAACAUGAAAAAAAGGGAAGGGAAAAGAAAAGGAAAAAGUCUGAAAAGAAGAAAAAUUGCUCAGAGGAAGAGCACAGAAUUGAAGCUGUUGAGCUAUGAUCUCAUAGCCACCGAUAUUUCUCGCUAAGAAGACAGAGGAAGCAAUCCAUGGGAACUACUUAUCCACAGUUACACAAGAGGAGGGGAUAAUGAAGAAAGUUAAAAUCACUUACUGAUUAAACACGAUGAUAAUAACCAUUAAUGAACUCAAUACUCGGGAAAGGCUUCACAUUUCUGGGACUCAGCAUUAUCCAAAAUAUCUAUUAAGAGCCAUACACCAUUCUAGCUGCAAUUGAUUAUACAAAAAAAAAAAGACCAAAGUGGUUACAAUAAUAAAAUAGAACACAGAGAAAGAAGAAAACUACAUGUGUUACAAUUUGCUCUAAGUCCUUGUGGAAAAAGAUAUUAAAGUACAAGGAAAAGACCAUAAGUCUUGCAGGAAGUAAAAACAUGAAGAGAAAAAUGUGGAGAGACAAGUAAACUGCGUUUUUCCGCAGUCUCAGAAUUUAUCCCGCUCUGUGUAACCCAGAAGUGACUGUGAAGGCGCAACCUGUGUAUGUAGCCUGGACCCCACAUGCUCUGCUACUGAGCUUGAGUCAUUAAUCUUCUGGCCACCGAUUUUUCUCUCAAAAAUUACAUGAGCUUCCUCCAUCAAUAAAUAUCUUCAGUGCUCUAUCCAUUAAUUUCCCAUCCACUGAAUAAAGGUUACAACAACUAUUCAUGAGGUUAGGUUUGUUUAAAAAUACAGUUUACAUCAAUUAAGUGGGGUACAUUAGGGAAUUAGAAGGAGAACAGAGAAGGCAGCAGUGAGUGCUUCCAACCCAACUUCAGGGGCUGGGACAAGGUGAAAUUACAGAGAUCACAAACUGAAGAUACUAAACAGGAAUGAAAGGGGCUGGUCUCACAUGUAUCACAGCCUACCAUUUCCAGAGACACAGCUCUCAGGUUCCAAAGGGACUAGUUGACAUCAAUUGCAAGAUGGUUUUCUAGAUCCCACAGCCUUUCUCAACAACAGUUUACAAGAGAAUUAGCCAUACAAAAAAUUAUUUGAGUGACUGUUUUUUCAAUUUUCUGAAGGGUUGUGCAUAACUAGUACUAUUCUAAUUGCACAGGAGAGAAAUUAACUCAUAACAUUAAUGCCUUAGGGUAGGUGUUGACAAACUAAGAACAUAGCUGCCCACCCGUUUUUGUAAAAUUUUUUUUGUAUUUUUAUUUGUUUAUUUAUUUUAUUUUGAGUGGAGUCUCGCUCUUUUGCCCAGGAUGGAGUGCAGUGGCACAAUCUUGGCUCACUGCAACCUCUGCCUCAUGGGUUCAAGCAAUCCUCUCACCUCAGCCUCCCAAGUAGCUGGGAUUGCAAGCGUGCACCACCACACGUGGCUAGUUUUUGUAUUUUUUGUAGAGGCGAAGUUUCACCAUGUUGGCCAGGCUGGUCUUGAACACCUGACCUCAAGUAAUCCACCCACUUCGGCCUCCCAAAGUGCUGGGAUUACAGGUGUGAGCCACCGCACCCGGCCCCAUUUUUGUAAAUAUGGUUUUUUGGUAACACAGUCAUGCUCAUUCAUUUUUUGUAUUGACUAUGACUGUUUUGAAGCUAUAAUGGUAGAACUGAGUAGAUACAGAUAUGUCAUUGCUUACAAUUGCAUAUAAACUUUGGAAGAGUAAACAAGAAAUUGGUAGCAUUAUUUGUUCCUAAUGAGGAGAACUAAGGGUCUGUGAACAAUUGCGGGAAGGAGACCUUUCCAUAUACAGCCUUUGGGCAUAAGCAACCAUGCCCAACCCCAAGUCUCUUCAUAAAGGAAAAUAUUAAUAAUUUGUCUUGGUUGAAUGUAUGUUAAAUGGAACAAAAUUGAUUCCUUUAAAAAAUUAUAGCCGGCAGCAGUGACUCACGACCAUGGGCCCAGCACUUGGGAGGCCCAGACGGGUGGAUCACUUGAGUCCAGGAGACCGGCCUGGGCAGCCUGUAGAAACUCUAUGAAAAAUAAAAAAGUUAGCCGGUGAUUUGCACCUGUGGUCCCGGCUGCUAGUAGGGAGGUGGGGGGCAGUGCUGAGGUGGGAGGAUUGCUUGAGCUCAGAAGGUGGAGGUUGCAGUGAGCCAUGAUCUUGCUCCACUGCACUCCAGCCUGGGUGACCGAGUGAGACCCUUCUCAAAAAAUAAAAUAAAAUAAAAUAAAAAUUAUAAACAAGGAAAAGUCUUAGUUCAUAGAUGAAAUGAUUAGACCUUCUUCUCUGGAGUAAUAGAAAUCGGUCCUUUCUGGAUGAGAACCAGCAUCUUUGCAGCCUUAAGCCACCUGAAGCUUAGUUGGCAUGAGAACGUAGUUAGAAAACUCCUCUUUAUUACUGAGAAGCAAAUUCCAGAGGUUCAUCUGCCAGGACUAACUUGGAUCUGAGGGGUAGAUACCUUUGCUCAAAAAUGCAAAUCUUCAGAGCUCGCGGAAGUGGAAGAAUAACUACAUAGGCAAAGAAAAUGCCAUCUCUGUCUCCGCGAGCUUCCUCUAGCAGGCCGGGAUUUUUCAUGGUCAGCCUGUUUGAAGCUCUACAGAAGCGUUCAGCCUAAGAGGUUUGUGUGCUUGGACAAAGCCCAGCGUGGACGCCACACACUUGAGGACGAAGGCAUUCCUUUCAUGUUAGCGGACUUUGGAAUUUCCCUCCCUGGGAUUUGUAUUGUUUUCUCUUCGUGUUGGGAUCAGUCCUAUCGGUUUUUUUUGUUUUUUUUUUUUUUUUUUUUGCUUUUUUGUUUUUUGUUUUGCUAGAAUUCCUUAGAUCUUACCCUGAGCCUCUUAUUCCCUAAGCAGAUGUCUUUGGUUAGAUUUUUGAAAUGCCACCAUUACCUUCAUUUGAUACUGGAAGAACUACAUUGGCAUCCUGUCUUUGCAUUUGGGUAGAUUUUACUCCUAAGUAUUUAUUGUGAGCAAGACUAAGUGCUUGCCUUACCUGGCCUCAUGGAGUUCUCCCACGAUGCCAUCCUCCUGAAGACUCCAUAGCUGCCUCUGCUUCACAGAGGAAAUUGGGGCAUAGAGUGUUUAAGGAAUUUCCCCGGUGUCUUGGUACCUCACUUUGGCAUUUCUUGGAAUACCGAUUCAUUAAAUCUGUUUUGUGUAUGUAAAAAAUAUAUAGAGAUAGAGCUGGGCGCAGUGGCUUACGCCUGUAAUCUCAGCACUUUGGGAGGCCCAGGCGGGUGGAUUACCUGAUUUCAGGAGUUCAAGACCAGCCUGACCAAGGUGGUGAAACCCUGUCUCUACUAAAAAUACAAAAAUUAGCCGGAUGCGGUUGCGGGCGACUGUAAUCCCACCUACUUGGUAGGCUGAGGCAGGGGAAUCGCUUGAACCCGGAAGGCGGAGGUUGCAGUGAGCUGAGAUUGCGACACUGCACUCCAGCCUGGGCAACAAGAGUGAAACUCCAUCUCAAAACAAAACAAAACAAAACAAAAAAUAUACAGAUAGAUACAUAGAGAGAUAGAUAUAUACAUAGAUAUACAUAUAUAGUAUCUUUUGAACUUCAAACCAUGUGAUAUAAUAUAUAAUUCAACAAAUUAAUUUUAAUUAAAUUAAAUCCUUAAAAUUUAAAAAAGUAAAAUAUGCUGUAUGAUUUGUAUGAAUUACGUAUCCAUUAACUAGCCGUUUUAAAAUAAUUAAAGGAAAAAAUGGACAAAAGAUUGGAUUAACUCCCAAAAAGUGUCUGUUGGUAGUUCUUUUUUUCAAGUUCAUCCCCUUCUAAUAUAAAAGAAAUCCAAUUUCAGUUAUCGAAUAUAAACUUUUACUCCCUUGGAAUUUGCCACUUGCUUUCUCUUGUAAUUCUCUUCAAAUCUUUGGCAGUCUUAAGUCUAUUUUUGUAUAAUUUAUCUUUUCUUUUAACUACUUACAAUUUUCACUUAACAUUCUGUAAGUCACAAAUUUCUCAACAACACAUGGAAAAUAAAGUAUACAGCCAAUUUUAUAAGGAUUAAUAAAGAUGUUAAAGUUUGAGAAGAUAUUAUUCCAACCUGAGAGUGUUUCAGAGUAUAUGAAAAUGCUGAGCAAUAUGAGGACAAAACCUGCUUAUCCUUAGCACACAGGCUGAAGUGGGAAUUAGUCAGGGGAAGCUAUGCUAUACUGUUUUUACAAAAAUUUAAAAAGGGGAGAAAAAGAAAAAUCUCAGCAUCUGAGAGCAUAUAUUAUUUCUCAUGUUGAAUAUGGUUGACAAUUUGGUUUUGUGGUCGGGUUACUUACGUCCAAGUGGGAACUUAGAGACCAAGACUACUUCCAUUGUGAUGUUGCCACUUCAACACGUCAUCCAUAAGAAAGGGAGAGAAGUGUAAGUGAGAGAUUUUUAUGAACCAGAUCUGAAAAUACAUACAUCGUUGCCACCAAUAUCCCAUUGGCCAGAAUUAGUGAUAUGAUAUCCUACCUAGCUGCAAGAAAACUGGGAAAUGCAUCUUCCAAUGUGCUCAGGACAAAAAUAAAAUGGUUUGAUGAACACAUAGCAUUGUCUUUGUCCGGUUGAGAAAUCAAGAAAACACACAACUUAAAUACAUUUCAAUAAUGGAUUUUACUUAACACUGCCAAAUUCAAAAUGAUCUUCCAUAGAUUAUUAUUGUCAUCAGAAUACUCACAUGAUCUUACUGGAAAUUAAUGCAGAUAAGAAAUUUUAACUCACAGCGUUCACUAAGUUUUUUUGUUUGUUUUGUUUUUUUUGUUUUUUUUUUUGUUUUUUUUUUAGAUAGAGUUUCACUCUUGUUGCCCAGGCUGGAGUGCAAUAGCACGAUCUCGGUUUACAACAACCUCCACCUCCCAGGUUCAACUGAUUCUCCUGCCUCAGUCUCCCGAGUAGCUGGGAUUACAGGCAUGCACCACCAUGCCCUGUUCAUUUUGUAUUUUUAGUAGAAAUGUGGUUUCUCCAUGUUGGUCAGGCUGGUCUAGAACUCUCGACCUCAGGUGAUCCGCCCGCCUCAGCCUCCCAAAGUGCUGGGAUUACAGGCGUGAGCCACCGCACCCAGC
rnacentral:lncRNA from 1 species